rnacentral:rRNA from 1 species
UACGUAGGGGGCAAGCGUUGUCCGGAAUCAUUGGGCGUAAAGCGAGCGUAGGCGGCCCGAUAAGUCUGCUGUAAAAGUCAACGGCUCAACCGUUGAAAGCCGGUGGAAACUGUCGGGCUAGAGUCCGGAAGAGGCGAGUGGAAUUCCCGGUGUAGCGGUGAAAUGCGCAGAUAUCGGGAGGAACACCAAUGGCGAAGGCAGCUCGCUGGGACGGUACUGACGCUGAGACGCGAAAGCGUGGGGAGCAAACAGG